CGUAUCAUUAACCGUUUUAUAACACGAUAAAAGUGUUAAAAUUAAGAAUCUGAAUAAAUGUAUAAAAGCUACGUUAUUGCUUAAAUAAAUAUGUAUAAGGAUAGCAUAUAGAAUAUCCUCUUCAUUAGCAGAAAGUACCCAGUUAUACCAAAGCGAAUCAGUUUUUCGUUAGGAAAAUAACCACCCACACCCACCCACACACACACACCCACCCACCCACCCACCCACAGACACAAAAGUACAACUCUAAAACGAGAUUAAAAUGUUUCCUACUUGCUGAUUUUAAAUUAGAAUUAAAAGAGAUGACUUAAAUCCCUUGAUUGACAUCAGCCAUGCCAGAACAGGAGGAAACGUUGAUAUUCCAACAUGUUUAAAAAAGGUUAAUGGAAGAAGGAGUAAAAGAAGCAGCAAGCCCGAGAUGAAGGUAGAAAACGUUAUCCAGUUGUUCAGCCGAAGAUUUAUUAUAGAUUUCAGUGUCAUAUAAAAGAGAGAACUGAUUUAGUUAUAAUUUCUCUGCGGGGGCUUGCAGACAGAGGAAACAAAUCGAUAUUUCUAGAAUGAAGAUCCUUUCCUCUGUUCUCCAGCAUUAAAAAAAGUUAGCUAAUCUUUCACUGGAAGCCUUGCCAUUGAUUUUUAUAUGCCAUUAAAAAAAGAACUUAUUUAGCUAUAAUGUAUGUAUUUCUACUGUGUGAAUACGCUGAGGAGGCAGACUGUCACUUAAUUAAGCUUUUCCGUACAAUAUAAGUAGAACUAAAUUUCUCAGCAUUCUAAAUUUAAUCCUGCACUAUAAUGUGCAACCUAUUUUCAAAACUAAUCUAUUUGCUCAGGGGCUCAGUCUCAGAUUUUCAGUGAAGCAUGCAACAUACUUACCGGUAGGAUUGAGCUCUAACUAUUUUUUCAUUUAGUUUCUGUGCAUCUCCUUAUCUGGGUUCUUGUGUGUGCCCUGCAAUGUGAUAUUUCAGUCUGGGAGUAGUCAGGAAUUCUUGCCUUAUCAGCUUUCUUGGAUGCCUAGCUGUUGUUUGCGCAUAAGCUAAGAUUUCAAUACACAACCUGAUUUUUCCUAGCUAGAUAGAUCUCUCUAUAUCUAUCUAUAAAUAUAGAGAUUGAUAGAUCUAUACAGUACAGUCAAAUCCCACCGGAAAGAAGAUUAGUAAAAUUAUUGAGAAAUAAUGGUUUCUGUAGGAGGUAAAAAACUCCACCAGUACUUUUUGGUCGGAUGGUUUGCCUUCUGAAGAACUCUUUAAACCCGUAAAAGAUGAAACGAGCCAUGAAGCAUCAUCCCACUGAAUUAAAAUAGGGCCCUGCUUCUCCCUUAUAUAACAGGAUAUUGAAAUUCCUCUGAAGUACAUGCAUUAGGAGGAAAUCAUUUCUGCAAACCUAAAACUUUAGGGUUUAGUUAUUUCCUGAUCAUUCUGUGGUUUUAGAGGAAAUAAACUGGAUGCUAAUCCUCUUGGAUUUCAUGAGUUGUACCAGCAAACUCUGCUUCAGUUUAUUAGGGAUUCCUCAGUGAGGAAUAAGGUCAUGGCCUGGCAUGUAACUGAGAUAAAGUAGUAUGUAUGAACAGAGACGUGUCUAACAAGAGGAAGCAGCUUAAAAAUGGCUAGGAAUGAUAUAUUUCCUUGUCUAAGAAAAGCAUAAGGCAACCAGCAAUUUUAAUAUGAAAUUCUGAAUAAAUGUUGGUUGAUUGAUUGAUUUUAAUAUUUUGGUAUGACUUCAGUACUUUCAGCCCUGAACUUCAAAGUGCUUCACAAAAGCAGAAAAGCAUUCCAUCAGUAGGUCAAAUGAGGCCUAGCAAGGUUAAAAUGACUCGCCGGAGGUUUUUCAGGAAGUCAAAGUCCAAACGAGGGUUAUAAACUUGGUUUCCUGGCACGUCCCCUUGCUCAAGCUACUAGGCCGGAGUGGUGGGAUCAAGUGACACCUGGCAGGCAGAACACAGGCAGCAUCACCUCUGUGGUGUGACCAUUCAAACACACUUGCAGAAAUGACAAGGUUAUGGUUUUGGUCCAGAAAGGCACUUUUGGCAGUUUCUCCAGAAUGAGUGACUGCUCUUAUUCGGACACAGUAACAUUUUAGCCAGCGAGCAAUGCUCAGAGUAAUUACAUUUUUCAGUACUGAAGUUCUAGCAUCUGCAUGUUGUUCUACUGAAAUGCGAAACAUCAGUCUCCAGGAUAUCCUAGGAACGCCUGUAGCUUGCCAAAUGUAUUAACUAGCUCUGUUAGCUACUGCAUACUCAGUUACACCUUUCCAAAAUGGCAAGACCAAGGUAAUAGGACCACUGGUCCAUGAAAUCUAAUAGCCUUCUCACACACUGGCCUUGCAGAGAACCUUCAACCCCUCCCAAGUACACUUAUUAGGCAGUUUUUCAAAGCCAUGCGAAAAUGACAACUUUUUCCUGACUCCGGGGUGCCACUAACUUAGGCCUUGGAGCACAUGCUCCCCUUGUUCUUGCUGUUACAGCCUGUACAUUAUUUAUACUUACAAAUUAUGUCACUUUGUGCACUUUGAACCAAAGUCUUCCCAGAAAGAAAGCAAAGGGGGGUGGGGGGGGAAGCAGAUUCAAAUUAGAUUUGAUUUACAUUUGUUCAAUCUAUAACAUUGCCAAGCUUCUUGAGUUGGCCAUCCUAGGAAGUUGGCUGUCAUGCUACAUGUUGUUUGUAUAUACACAUGUACACACACAGAUGUACAACACAGUUGGGACAAAUCAUUUAGUUCUACAAACCCUAAGAAGAAUAAAUUGGUCAUGCUAUUUGAUCUCAUCUGCCAGCAGCCAUUUCUUCCCUUAGUAAGAGCCAAGUGAGGCAAAUCCAGAUGUCCCGCUGCAGUCACGCGCUGUACUUACGUAGACCCUGACGAGCCAAUCAAUACAACAACCUCACUCUUAUAAGAGUUUCUGUAACAAUCUCAAUCUGGGAUUUAGGAGCUUAGUGGUAUUUUCAUUUUUGUACCUCGGAGAGCAUUACUAGCAGUCAGAGAAGUACAAGAUUUCAUUAAAGACAACUCAUCUUUUAUAAAUCAGCUGAAGAGAACUGCUAGUCUCCAAAUGUUAGUUUUGGUGUUUACUUUAAUAGCAUCUUACAUGUUGCAUUACAGUGGUCUCAUUGUUCCUUUUUUUUCUUAUUUUCCUUACAAUGCACAUGUCCGGGACUGGAAGGCCAUGUGAGGAAGGGAAGAAAGUACCAAAUUUGGCAAUAUUCAUUUUCUAGCUUCAGUUAACAACAUCCACAGAUCCUACAUGGAUGUUACCUUGCUGCUUGGGAGGGGAAUCCUACCAACCCUGUAUCUGAUGACACUCUGGGCCAAAACUAUUCUCCACUCUUGUGUCCCAUCCACUAGUCUUCAUGUCCACCUCACAAGUAAAAAGCUGUGUUCAGCCUGUCUGGGUAGAAAGCCAUUGCACUCCUUUUUAUACAUGAGUCCCACCUCAGCUCUGUUCUCUCUACUGAAGUAUCACUGCACCAGCACCUCGGCCCAUUGAGUAUGAAAUACUGUACAGUUUUAAGCAAGAGCCCGCAGGACAGCCACUUCCCUUGUGCAAGGAGAGAGGAGGAUUCCAGUGCAGCAUUGCGGAAAACCAGUUUCUUCCAAGCAGCGCUCCAGGACGCCCAAAGCAUGACCCUAGCCGGCGAGCAUGAUACCAUCCACAGAGGGUGCCAACGCGGCAAACUUUUUCAAAGGGCCAGAGCUGAGGCUCAAUCCCGCAUCCCCACACUGUUGAGAUGGCUCUUGAAUCCAACACUGAAGCCUUUACAGUUUGCCAGCACAGCAGCGCUCCUCGCAGAAAGAGGAAGGCUUCGUUGCAAAUACAGUGGAAACGCUGAACCAAAUCUCAGCUAUAAUUGGUGAACAGUGACAUUGUCCCUAAUUGGGGAAAAUGAUAAUCCCUAGCAAGUAACUGAAUUGUCAGGGAAGGCUAAUAUUUAGGUUAUUCCACCAAAAGAUACAAAACUGCAUGGUAUAUUCACCUUUGUCCAGACAGGUUUUGGAAGUAGGAAUAUUCAAAUUGCAUUUGCUAAUUCAAGGUGUUUGUCAGUAUAGCCUCUGGCAGAUAUCUACAUCUACCCACAGACAGAAACUGUGUUAAGGUCAGAGUGCCCUUAGUUGCCCCUGACUGCCCCACGCAGAGCUGACUGGCACGGUUCGGAACCUGCCUACGGCUGUAGCAGACCCCUGGGCUGGAAACAAGUACCACUGUGACGAAGCUAUUUUGUUUCCAACAUUUAGAUACUAUUACAGUGCAUUAAUAUUAAUAUUUUGAAAAAUGGAUGGAUGCCUUUUUGGAAACAAUGUUGAUAGCUUGAAAAAGACUAAAAUGGUUACCCUACUUUCAUAUAUUUUAUUAUAUGAGAAAUCUUGGUUUUAAACGAAUCGGAAUGGAUUCUUAAAUUUUAAACAGUCUAUGAUGUACUACUAGAUGGGUGUAUCCCAACGUGAGGAAAGGUAUAUUUUAUUUUUAUGUGAAUGCUGUUUUAGUCUGCAAUGCAAGCUGCUGGAUGUUCUUAAAUCUGUAAGCUAGGAUGGAGGAAAAAAGCAUUCUCUUGUGCGAGUCAGAAUCACAUUUUUAAGUUCUGUUUUGAAAGCCUAUCAAUUUCUUUUGAUACUGGUAAUUCUCAAUAAUAAAAUGAUUUUUUUCCAAAGAGA